CCAUCAGCAACGCCGCAGACCGCGCCGGCAUC
rnacentral:scRNA from 1 species